ensembl:lncRNA
UGUAAGUAUAGAUAUAUUUAUUUAUACCUAUAUACGUAUACAUACAUCCCAGUAUCUAAAGAAAAUGAAUCCCAGGAGUCAAACCAACAACAUGUUGGUCCGUCCCUCAACACUGUCUUACUUCCUGUCUCACUUUCUCCCUCAGGAAUUUAAUACUCAAAUACAGAAACACGCUGUACCGAGUUUAAAUGAUUUAGAGAUCAAUAAAUCGGUAACUAAACAAUGACAUCUUCAACUCAACAUCCGCUUAAAGUGACGAUGGAGAUAAUGAAGACCACAACAUGUGUCUGAAAGGUAUUUUCCAAUUAAAGUUAGACUUCAAAAUGAAAUAUUGAAAUCUUUAUUUAGGAUAAAUUCAAUAUUGAAUAAGUUCAAUUUGUACUACAAAGUAUUUGUGUCCUGAGGAAAUGGAGCUGUAGAAAUGAGGUUGGUUCCUCUCAGCGUCUGCCAGUCAGAUCUCAGGGCAGAUAAUCCACAGGAGGCCGUGAGAGCCUCAACUCUGCACCAAGGGACUAAAAUCAAACGCACCUCAACACCCUCCAACCAGACCUCACUCAAAUAAUCCAAACCUUCCACACUCAGCGAGCGGAUCUUAGAACGUCGACUAACAUGCCAAGUAUAACAUCCAUUUAGUGCAGCUACUAUGAAAUACAAUGAAAUAGGACCAAUAUGAAAUAUAGAACAAAGAAUAAACGUUGUAGCAAACAGUACCUAUAGGUAAUGAUAUAUAUAUAUAUAUAUAUAUAUCAGUAGUACUGUGAUCCUAUGGUAGUACAUCAGUGGUACUGUGAUCCUGUGGUAGUAUCUGUAGUUCUACAGCUCCCCCUACAGGAUAGAAGGAGGAGGACGUUUCAGCUCACGUCUCCCAUCAUAAACACGUAGUACCUGCAUAGCGCUGUGGGGGGGCUGACUGACCUCUGACCCGCCUUUGAUGACCUCACCCCGUAAUAGACUUCAAGGUCCACCACGUCUGCACACACACACACAGUUUGGAGGUAAUCAAUCAUUGAGCUGUCCCUCCUGUCAAUCAAAGCGACACAGUACAACCGCCCGCCGCUAUCAGCUGACCAAAACGUUGCCUCUGAUAAAAUGAUGUUUUAAUAUUUCCACUUACUAACACUUAUUUGGAUUAUAAAAGAUAUGAAUAAUUAUAACUAAACUGACUGAGUUUAUAUAAUAUAUAUACAUACGUGUCCCUCCGUGUCUGUCUGUCUGUCUCUACUCAGUUCUGAGGGUCCAAACAGUCUCUGUGUGGUUUGAUCCGUCAUCACUCUGCUUCCUGCUGCUGGUCACAUGCUGUCACUGUAGCACACAACGAUAAACACUUUUAUCUUUAUAUAAAUACAAAAUAUGCAGCUGUUAUUAAUCAGAAUGUGAUUGAAUAGUCCCUUUAAGGCUCAGACAACCAAAAUAUAUUCAAAAAUCCGGAGUAUCACAGCAUCCUCGUACGUGGCUGAGUUAGUCAGAUAAUUGUCAGGAUAAGAUCACAUAGAUCAGGCUCAGUUCCACAAAGCGAGUUUGGCAAAAUCACCAUAGCAACACAUCCAAGAACCUCAGCCUGCAGGCAGCUAUGAACUCGCAACCUGCACAACAAAACGGCAGCUUUCUUCCACGGAGACCCGUUGAUGAGCAAUACUAGAACAACGUGUUACAGGGAGAGAGUUCUUCCAAGAUCCGAUAUCACCUACAGGCCGUCUCACAGGCCGUCCCACAGGCCGUCUCACAGACCGUCCCACAGGCCGUCUCACAGACCGUCCCAGAGGCCGUCCCACAGGCCGUCUCACAGGCCGUCUCACAGGCCGUCCCACAGGCCGUCUCACAGGCCGUCUCACAGGCCGUCUCACAGGCCGUCUCACAGGCCGUCUCACAGGCCGUCUCACAGGCCGUCCCACAGGCCGUCCCACAGGCCGUCCCACAGGCCGUCUCACAGGCCGUCCCACAGGCCGUCCCACAGGCCGUCUCACAGGCCGUCCCACAGGCCGUCCCAGAGGCCGUCCCACAGGCCGUCUCACAGGCCGUCCCACAGACCGCCCCACAGGCCGUCUCACAGGCCGUCCCACAGACCGUCCCACAGACCGUCCCACAGGCCGUCUCACAGGCCGUCUCACAGACCGUCCCACAGGCCGUCCCACAGACCGUCCCACAGACCGUCUCACAGGCCGUCCCACAGACCGUCUCACAGGCCGUCUCACAGGCCAUCUCACAGACCGUCCCACAGGCCGUCUCACAGACCGUCCCACAGACCGUCCCACAGGCCGUCCCACAGACCGUCUCACAGACCGUCCCACAGGCCGUAGGACAUAGUGUCUCACAGGCCGUAGGACAGACUCACAGACUGACAUACAGAGCGUCUCACAACAGGAAAGCCGUUUUCGUAAAGUUUAUUUGACGCUUAAGAAGCUUGUUUGACCGCUUCAACUGAUUGAAUUUCUGAAUAUAAAUAAUACAAAUAUAUUGAUCUGCCUGUACACAGAUUUGCACACAGAUUAUUUGUUCAUAUUCCUAUACAUGUUUGUUAUAUGAUAAUUAACUGUACUGGCGGUUGACUGACUGUAGGUGUAUGAAGGUCAGAGUGAACGGUUGCUGUUUUCGUUGAUGAUGAUGAUGGAGUCCAGUCAAAUAGACCCCCCCCCCCCCCCCAUGCUAUCUGAUUUACUCUCUAAGGAUGAGCAGUGUAGAACAAGACAAGUAUUCAAGAUCUCCACAUGUUGUGAGAGUAGAUUUCAGUGUCAAGUUAGUGUCAAGAAGACGGACGCAAGAGUUCCAGGUAUAGGAGACCACAAAAAUAAUCAUUUAUACUUUUUAAAAGUGAAAUUCUUUGUGGCAAUCAUGGCAAUAAAUGUUUCCUGGUUCGUGAAAUUGGUUUAACUUGGCACUAAAUUGGCACUUGUUUUAUUGUAAAGUUCAUACUAUGAAACGGGUCAUGAAUACGUAUUUACGUAUGCUAAGAACAAAGUCGAAACCGGAGUCAAAUUCCACAUUUCAAAUUGUGAUUUGGUUAAGAUUAACCUAAAUGUAUCAAGAAAUACUACUUUAAUCCCUUAUAACUGUCUCAUGGUUCUCUAUAGAUACCUGUCAACACCCAUAUACCCAUUCAACCUAAUAAACCAUUACUGAAAGUCAAUUAUCUUUAGGUAUAAUAAACUUUUCUCAACAUAAAAGUGUGAAAGGUUUUUCUAUUUGAACUAUUAGUGAAUGAAGUGAAUGAAUUAGCGUUUAUAAUAAUUAACACUGAGCGGUCUUCAGCUGUCAAAUUAAAACAAUCCUCCCGAAAUAAUAUUUAACCGAGAAAACCCGGAAAGACGGGGCUUUUAUUGUGAAGCGCACUGCUCUCUUUUUCCCAGUGUUGAUGUAGCUGCUGUCAACUUGACGUUUCCGCUCUGAAGGUCGCUCAAAAAAUGACCAGAGUUAACAGCUUGCAAAUAGUUAUCCGUUAACGUUUGAACUCGUCGGUUUUUCACGGUGAGCGGGAACUGGCAACUUCCGGUCACGGUUUGAACAAAGACACUCGUCUCCGGAUCAUCGGGUGAUGCUAACGUGCUAACCAUCCAGGGGUGCCGAAGGUUAGCUUCUAGGCUAACCGAGCAGAGGUCUUCCCUGUUAUCAGUUAGCUCCGUUAGCCGCUAGCUGUUAGCAUGCAGUGUGUUAACGUUCUGAAAAAGAGAAGUCUGGAAGCGGAAGUGGAGCCGUGGAGCUGCAGACCGGUGAGUGAUGAUGACGAAGAUGAUGAAGGC